CCUACGGGAGGCAGCAGUGGGGGAUAUUGCACAAUGGGGGAAACCCUGAUGCAGCGACGCCGCGUGGGUGAAGAAGCGCCUCGGCGCGUAAAGCCCUGUCAGCAGGGAAGAAAAUGACGGUACCUGAAGAAGAAGCCCCGGCUAACUACGUGCCAGCAGCCGUGGUAAUACGUAGGGGGCAAGCGUUAUCCGGAUUUACUGGGUGUAAAGGGGGCGCAGACGGCGAUGCAAGCCAGGAGUGAAAGCCCGGGGCCCAACCCCGGGACUGCUCGUGGAACUGCGUGGCUAGAGUGCAGGAGGGGCAGGCGGAAUGCCUGGUGUAGCGGUGAAAUGCGUAGAGAUCAGGAGGAACACCGGUGGCGAAGGCGGCCUGCUGGACUGCAACUGACGUUGAGGCCCGAAAGCGUGGGGAGCAAACAGGAUUAGAUACCCUAGUAGUC
rnacentral:rRNA from 1 species